GACGAACGCUGGCGGCGUGCUUAACACAUGCAAGUCGAACGGAAAGGCCCUGCUUUUGUGGGGUGCUCGAUUGGCGAACGGGUGAGUAACACGUGAGUAACCUGCCCUUGACUUUGGGGUAACUUCAGGAAACUGGGGCUAAUACCGGAUAGGAGCUCCUGCUGCAUGGUGGGGGUUGGAAAGUUUCGGCGGUUGGGGAUGGACUCGCGGCUUAUCAGCUUGUUGGUGGGGUAGUGGCUUACCAAGGCUUUGACGGGUAGCCGGCCUGGGAGGGUGACCGGCCACAUUGGGACUGAGAUACGGCCCAGACUCCUACGGGAGGCAGCAGUGGGGAAUAUUGCACAAUGGGCGGAAGCCUGAUGCAGCAACGCCGCGUGCGGGAUGACGGCCUUCGGGUUGUAAACCGCUUUCGCCUGUGACGAAGCGUGAGUGACGGUAAUGGGUAAAGAAGCACCGGCUAACUACGUG
rnacentral:rRNA from 1 species